rnacentral:misc_RNA from 1 species
UCCUAGCCCUGAUAGUAACGGUUACCCCGCAGCACGCGCGGGAAUGUAAAUGAGCGAGGAGUAAGAGUGGAUAGCAGGAGAAAGC